UACGUAGGGUGCAAGCGUUGUCCGGAAUUAUUGGGCGUAAAGAGCUCGUAGGCGGUCUGUCACGUCGGCUGUGAAAUCCCGAGGCUCAACCUCGGGUCUGCAGUCGAUACGGGCAAACUAGAGUAUUGCAGGGGAGACUGGAAUUCCUGGUGUAGCGGUGGAAUGCGCAGAUAUCAGGAGGAACACCAAUGGCGAAGGCAGAUCUCUGGGCCGUAACUGACGCUGAGGAGCGAAAGCAUGGGGAGCGAACAGG
rnacentral:rRNA from 1 species